rnacentral:rRNA from 1 species
UACGUUCCCGGGUCUUGUACACACUGCCCGUCACGCCAUGGGAGUUGGUUAUACCUGAAGUCGCCCUUAAAGGCGCCCACGGUAUGAUCAAUGACUGGGGUG